CUCCUAUGCAAGACUGAUUUCGUAUUUCUACUGUACUAGAGGAAAGAUGGUAGUAGAGGAUUACAGAGAGGAAGGCAGCUCCAUUUCCUCUCCACAGCUGACAGAGUGCAGGAAGAUGUGAAAGGCCUGAUGAUCCUCACAGAAUCGUAUUUGGGUAUUCUCCAAAUCCAUUGCCAUGUGUGGAACAUGCAUCCCUGAGGACACGCUGAUGCUUCAGGAUCAUCAGGCAAUGAAGAAAAGGAUCCAUGCUCACGAUGGAAACAUAGUAGUGAGCAGGGAGCAGUGUGCAUGAGGCAAUGGUCUUGAGACUGCAAGAGGAGACCUGUGGGAGAGGAAGCUGUGUCCCAGGAAUGACAAGAACAGUGUGUGAACCCUGACCAUUAGCUGAGGUGCUGGCAACAACCACCAGGAGUCCCCAAAAACACCCAGCAAGAAUCCCCUCAGAAAAGGCUGAAAUGUCUAUAACCUAAGUAGUCAUGGGAAUUUGAGCCAUUGCUAUGCUGUUAUUUAGGCAUGAAAAGGAAGUGUUCCCUUAAUUUUCAGUCACAUGCACGUGAAGCCAGGUCACUUGCAGGAUGUAUUUAUAAUUUCGAUGUAAAUUUAAUUUAUACGAUAUUGACCUUUUUCUGAAAUUUACAUUUUUUCAUAAUAGCAAAUAAUAUGGUAAAUAAUUUCCUACAUUAGUAAAUAUUAAUAAUUAUACUAAAUCAAUAAGAAGAAUAUUAAAUAUUCUCUAACAUAAUUUAGAUGGUUAUAUAAUUUGCCAUUAUGUGGGACUACUAUAAUUUAGACAAUGAAUCAUGUAUCAUGUGACAUAUAUUAUUUUUAUAAACAAAAUUUUUUAACUGCAUCUUUGCACAAUUUACGUUUGUUUCCUUAGCAUAUAAGAAAAGUCCGCUUUUACCCUAUAUCCCUCAUCUUAGAGGCUGUUCCCAUGUCCCCUUCUCAGAGAGUUUGCUCCCAUGGACACUAAGGUAAAGCAAAGGAUGUAACAAGAGCUGCCAUGUUCCUGAGGCCUCCCAGAUCACAGUUCCAUCUCACGCAUAAUCUCACACAUUUCUCUCUAAGGUUCUGAGUUGGUAUCACAAGUUUCCCCUUUGUUGGGUCAAAUAAGUUUCUGGGUUGUUGUUUUGCAGUGUUUUUUAUUGGUGCUUUUUUGUUUUGACAAUAAAGUGAUCAUGAUUGGACACUUAUGAUAUAGCCUGUAGGAGGAAUUGUUGGAUUCAAGUGAAUAAAAGCAUUCACAGAGAGUAUAUUCAUGUACACAGGUACACAUACGCAACCCACACUGGUAUUUUUGGUCAAAUACCAGUCCAGUUGCUGCUGUGAAGAUACUUUUUGGAUUUGGUUAACAUUUAAAUUAGUAGACUUUGAGUAAAGCAGAUGACCUUUCACAAUGUGAGUGGGGCUUGUCCAAUCAUUUGAAGGUCUUGACCUUAACAUCUACAGGACAUAUGCACACAUAUUGAAUACUGCCCUCCAAAAUGGUUUCACCAGUCUCCAUUCCUGUACACAUUUUCUAAAUCUAUUAGCAAGGGCAUCAUUUUCCCAAACUUUUAGGUGAAAAAAAAAAAUAGUAUUUUAAUGCUCUUUUAUUUGCAAAUUUUUACAAUUAAUGAGGUCGAAUUUUUUCCAGCACAGAUAUGGUCAUUUGUUUCUUCUUUCAUAAAUUGCCUCUUUUUAUCCUUUAUUUUCCUAUUUGGAUAAUUAUGCCUUUCUUAUUGAUUUCUAGAUAAUUUCCUCACCUAUAGUUUGCAAAUAUAUCCCAUUUUUGAGUGUUAAUGUGCUCAAGUAUAUCAACAGGUUUACAACUCCUGCCUAAGUGUGAUAUUUUAAAAAAUCUUCUUUGUCCCAAGAUUAUGUUUAUAUUCAUGUGUAUUUUCUUUCAUAUUUUGUAUACUCUUUUUUUAUAUUUACAUUUUUAAUUUGUCUGGAAUCUAUGUGGUUUAUGGUCUAAGUCAGAAAAUUAAAUUCAUAUUUUUCAAAAUGCUUUGUCAGUUGCCUCAACACCUUGUAUUCAUUAAAUACAUUCUGUCUUCACUUAUUUGAAAUUCUGCAUUUAUCAUAUAUUAAAUUCUUAAGUAUAUUUGCUCUCUUUUAGAAAUCUGGUUUAUUUCUUUAAUUUGAUAUUCUAGUAUUAUGCUGUUUCUAAAUCCUGUGUCUUCGUAAAUAUGUGUGAAGGUCUUGAUAAAGCAAAUUUUCCCCUCUUCAUUAAUUUCCUAAUAUUUACUUUUGAUAUUUUUAUUUCUUUAUUUUUCCAGGCCAACUUUGAGAUUAUAUGGGCAUUGGGUCCUUCCACACCCAUAAAAAUCAUCAACUUCUCUUCCUUUGUCUCCUAAUCAUCAUUGUAAUUUUCAUCCUGGUGAGCAUUUCACUGAAUUUAUCUUAAAUGUUUAGAAUUAGAAUAAGGAGAAGAGAAUAGAAAUACUUGUAUCAGUCAGGGACCUCCAGAGAAACAGAACAAAUUAGAAUAUGCAUGUCUAUGGAGAGAGGUUUAUUUUACGGAAUUGGCUCUUAAGAUUGCAGAGCUGACAGGUCCUAAAUCUGCAGGACAGGCCAGCAGGCUGGAGACUCAGGGAAGAUCUGAUGUUGCCCAGUCAAGUCUGAAGGCAGUCAGGAGGAGAAUUCCUUCUUCUGCUGGGGAUGUCAAGCUUUCCUCUUAAGACCUUCAACUGAUUGGACAAGCCCCAAUCACAUUAUGAAACGUCAUCUGCUUUACUAAAGUCUACUAAUUUAAAUGUUAGUCAAAACUAAAAAGUAUCUUCACAGCAGCAUCUGGACUGGUAUCUGACCAAAAACUAGGUACCAUGGUCUAGCCACAUUUACAUAAAAUUAACCAUCACAAUAGUCAUAAGAUUUGGUUUUCUCUUACUGAAAUGCGGUAUAAUUGGGAUUUAUUCAAAUCUUCUUUUAUAUCCAUCCAUAAAGUUUUGUAAUUUUUCCUUAUUGGCCUAACAAUUCCUGUAAAGAUUAUUUGUAAGUAGUUAAUAAUUUUUGUAAUCAUGAUGAGUUUAACACUUUUAUUUUAUUACAUGUGCUCAUAUGUUGUUGCUGACACUAAGAAACCUAUAGGUCAAAAGAUGCAAACUAGGGCCACAUGAGCACGGCAGCACCCAGCCAGGACUCUGCUGCAGCUGCCGUUUGUAGAUGGAGCUCUCUGUCUCCAAAGAAGCACAGGCCUGUUGUUCUUCUGGUUGUGCUACAGUAAAAUGAACCUGGGUUUUCUGAACAUGUGGUUGAAUGUCAGUUGCUACCUAUCGUUUCACUUGUGAUAUUGAUUUUAUUAAUCUUAAAGUUAUGUGAAUGUUAACUAUUUCUCAUAUCUAUAUCUUAUUCAAAAUCUGGGAAAAUAAAAGACUAAGGAAAAUAAAUCUUUUUUUCUCUAAAGAGA
rnacentral:lncRNA from 1 species